AUGCCAUGGUGAGGACACUUCACCAACAUACCCUUAAAUCUCUCCCAUGUUUCUUGUAAAGUCUCAGUCGGUUUCUGCCUGAAUUCCAAUAUCUCAUCAAUCUGCCU
rnacentral:snoRNA from 1 species